UACAGAGGUCCCAAGCGUUGUUCGGAUUCACUGGGCGUAAAGGGUGCGUAGGCGGUCGGGUAAGUCUGACGUGAAAUCUCCGAGCCCAACUCGGAAACUGCGUCGGAUACUAUUCGGCUAGAGGAAUGGAGGGGAGACUGGAAUUCUCGGUGUAGCAGUGAAAUGCGGAGAUAUCGAGAGGAACACCAGUGGCGAAGGCGAGUCUCUGGACAUUUCCUGACGCUGAGGCACGAAAGCGAGGGGAGCAAACAGG
rnacentral:rRNA from 1 species